ACGGAAGGCAGCAGUGGGGAAUAUUGCACAAUGGAGGAAACUCUGAUGCAGCGAUGCCGCGUGAGGGAAGAAGGUUUUCGGAUUGUAAACCUCUGUCUUCAGGGACGAUAAUGACGGUACCUGAGGAGGAAGCUCCGGCUAACUACGUGCCAGCAGCCGCGGUAAUACGUAGGGAGCGAGCGUUGUCCGGAAUUACUGGGUGUAAAGGGAGCGUAGGCGGGAUCUUAAGUCAGGUGUGAAAACUAUGGGCUCAACCCAUAGACUGCACUUGAAACUGAGGUUCUUGAGUGAAGUAGAGGCAGGCGGAAUUCCUAGUGUAGCGGUGAAAUGCGUAGAUAUUAGGAGGAACAUCAGUGGCAAAGGCGGCCUGUUGGGCUUUUACUGACGCUGAGGCUCGAAAGCGUGGGGAGCAAACAGGAUUAGAUACCCUGGUA
rnacentral:rRNA from 1 species